UACGAAGGGAGCUAGCGUUGUUCGGAAUCACUGGGCGUAAAGCGCACGUAGGCGGAUGUGUCAGUCAGGGGUGAAAUCCCGGGGCUCAACCUCGGAACUGCCUUUGAUACAGCACGUCUUGAGUCCGGAAGAGGUGGGUGGAAUUCCUAGUGUAGAGGUGAAAUUCGUAGAUAUUAGGAAGAACACCAGUGGCGAAGGCGGCUCACUGGUCCGGUACUGACGCUGAGGUGCGAAAGCGUGGGGAGCAAACAGG
rnacentral:rRNA from 1 species